ACGUCGCGGCGGGCGCUGAGGGGCGAGCGGUCGGCGCGCAGCAGCCGGGGCAGGAGCGCAUGGCUGCGCGGGGAAUCCCAGAGGCCCAGCAGCUGGGGACGGGGCGGCAUGACCACGGACCAGGCUCACCCCCGGCCCUUCAUCCCCGCACCCUCCAGCGCGCCCCGUCCACCCUGCCUAACCCCUGUCCACGCCUCCCCUGCCCCCGGACCCGGCUCUGCCCCCCCACCCCCAGGGCAGUUUGACCAAGCCCCAGGGCAGGUUGACCAAGCCCCAGGGCAGGUUGACCAAGCCCCAGGGCCGGUUGACCCCAUCCCAGACUCACCUCCUCUGGAAUCUGAAAGAAGCAAGAGCAAGGGGCGUCGGGGCAGGGGAGAGGUGGCCGCCGCUCAGGGUCUCCUCCCUGCCCCUUCUCACCUCUGUGCUCUCUCCCUCCUUCUUCGUCCUAUUAGACCCUUAUUGAACCUUUGCCCCGCAGUCCCCGACCCAGGCCCUCGCCGACCCCUCCCCAACUCUUCCUUCCCCAUCUGCGCUCCCAGCGCCUUCUCUGUAUCCUUGGUCCCCUCUGGCCCUUCUAACCCCCAGCCUCUCUCUGUCCCUAACCUCGUCCCUCUGUCUGUCCCUGAGCCCCUCCCUCUCAUUCCCUUAGCUCCCUCUCCCCUCUGAGACCUGGCCCCCCAGCCCUACUAGCCCCCUACUCCCCUCCCAGCGCCGCCCCCUCUUGGCCCUGCUCCUCCACUCCUCCCCUCCUCCCCGAUCCUCUUCAGUCCCACCCCUCCACCACUCCCCCUCUUCCCCCUUGGCCCCGCCCUCCACACCUCCCCUCUUCCCACUGGCCCCGCCCCUCCAUGCCUCCCCCGCUCCUUGGCCCGGCCCCGCCCCUCCACCCUCCGGGUUCCCUCCAGCCUCAGCUUUGCCCAGGACCUCACCUGGAACACGUGGAAGCCAACGGUGAGGCUCCAGCAGCGUUAAACGGAACUGAGGAUUGGUCCAGAAGGUUUCUAAGGGAGGAGGAAAAAAGGGGGUUUCCUAGCCGGCCACAGCGCCCCCCACCCCAGGAAGCCUCUCAGGGCCCCUCAGGCCUCACCAGCAUUAGGCUGGCUCCCGCCGGAGUUGAAGCCACGCACCCAGCGGCCUUGGAAGGUGUGGACGUGCCAGCCGCCCCCCUCCGGGCUGGGGCCCAGCACCUCCGGGCUCAGCGAGCAGAUCUGCACGGUGUCGAAAUGGAGGAGGAAGUCCCGCAGCUCCAUCCUGCACGGUGGCCCAGUCAGACCCUGCCCGGCCCCACCUCGAGGGGGUCCCAAGAUCCCGGAAAUGACUCCCAGAUCCCAAAGCCCCUCACAUUUCUUAAAUAUUGUCAAAUACCCUUCAGGCUCCAGAAAUGAACCCCAAAUGCCUGGGCCUCUAGCUCUGCCAAAUUCCUCCAAGUCCUCAGACAUGCCCCACAAAUCGCCAAGAUUCACAAGCUGCCCCCAAAUAUCGUUAAAUUGCCACCAACCCCCAAAUAGCAAGACCCUCAGACUCUAAAUUACCAACAAGUACCCUUCAGCCCCUCAACAUUGCCAAAUCUCAAGAAAUGCCCCAAAUAUCACCAAGCCUUCCUCCAUUGCCCUAAAUACUGCCCAUCCCUUUCAAUCCUCCACAGAUAACUAGGCCUUCAAAUUCCCCUCAUAUUACUACUUUUUUAAACCCACUCCAAUCAGAGGUUCUCUAAUAUUACUACCAAUUCUUCCUUGAUUUCCCAAAAUAGAACCUGGCCCCAAAAUUACCACCGAUGUACACAGUUUCUCCCUAUUAGGACCCAUCCUUCAACUGGGGCUCGCCCUCCCUGAACCCCUUGGCAGAGACCCUCCCAGAGGCAGAGCUGGGACCCUGACGAACUGACCAGAACUCGCCAUCCUCCUUUUUCACCAGCAGGGCAUCGCGGCACUCGGUGGGGAGUGUGUCCCAGCGUGGGCAGCUGGAGAGACUGUGGUGUGAGGGGCGGGCAGGUGGGGUCCAGCCCCACACCCACCCCAGACCCAUCCCACCUGUCGCUCCAGGCCCCCGUCCACUCCACGCAGCCCCAUGGGUUCCGCAGCCGCAGCAGCCGCACCUUGGUGAAGCCCAGGAACACCUGGGGCAGCAUCGUCAGUGGGGGUGAUGCCUGGACAUGGCCUGCCACCCCACCCAUGGGGGACACUUACCUUGUGUGUGCCCGUGAUGGAAUACGCGUGUCCCUUUACCAGGCCCUCUUCUGUGCGGUACUCACCCCGAUCACUCUGGGCAGGGGAUGGGAUGGUGAGGCCAAGGUAGGGGACAGGAGGGCAGCUGCUCCUCCCUGCCCCCAACCUCCUGCCACCAAGGCAGGAGCCAACCAGAGCACUGAACUGAAUGGCACGCAGCUCAGAGACCAUGUCAGGGUUAGUGACUGAAGGCGAAAGAGAAAAGGAGAGGAAGGGAGAUGGAAACGAGACAAAAGGAGAUGGAGGUACGGGCUCACGCCUGUAAUCCCAGCACUUAGGGAGGUCGAGGUGGAAGGACUACUUGAGGCCAGGAGUCCAAGACCAGCCUGGGCAACAUAGCAAGACCCCAAGUCUACAAAAAUUUUAAAAAUUCAACAGGCGUGGUGGUGCACACCAGUGGUCCCAGCUACUCUGGAGGCUGAGGCAGGAGGAUCCCUUGAGCCCAGAGGUCAAGGCUAUAGUGAGCUAUGAUGACACUACUGCACUCUGGCCUGGGUGACAGAGUGAGAUGAGACCCUGCCUCCAAAAACAAAAACAAACAAAAUAGAUGGAAAGAGGCCUGUUGUGGUGGCUCACACCUGUAAUCCCAGCACUUUGGGAGGCCGAGGCGGGCAGAUCACAAGGUCAGGAGAUUGAGACCAUCCUGGCUAACACAGUGAAACCCCAUCUCUACUAAAAAUACAAAAAACUAGCUGGGCAUGGUGGCGGGCGCCUGUAGUCCCAGCUACUCGGGAGGCAAAGCAGGAGAAUUGCUUGAACUUGGGUGACAGAGGUUACAGUGAGCCAAGGUCGUGCCACUGCACUCCAGCCUGGGUGACAGAGCAAGAUUCCGUCUCAAAAAAAAAAAAAAAAAAAAAAAAGAUGGAAAGAGUAGAGAGACAGAGACAGAGACAAAGAAAGAUACAGAAGAGAGAAACAGACACAAAAGAAAAAGAGAAGCAGUAACUCAGAGGAUUUAAGUAAAUGAAUGAGUGAAGGAGUUAGACCAACUCAGUGAAUGAAUGAGUGUGUCAUGGGGUCACAGAUGAACACAUGACCCAAGCUAAGCCCACGAGAAUCAAUCCUGGGACUUUUACUGAAAUUCUCAGAAAGAGGCACUUUUUUUUUUUUUUUUUAAAUAAACCCUAGGGUGGUAGGAGAUACCUGCAGCUAUGGGGGAUCCUUUUAUGCCCAUGAGGGGAGAGCCUGGCUGAGAGUGACACUAACACAGAAUGAGAAAUAAACAUAGUUGCAACACCCUCA